GCGAGCCUGAUCAGCCAUGCCGCGUGUGUGAAGAAGGUCUUCGGAUUGUAAAGCACUUUAAGUUGGGAGGAAGGGCAGUAAGUUAAUACCUUGCUGUUUUGACGUUACCAACAGAAUAAGCACCGGCUAACUUCGUGCCAGCAGCCGCGGUAA
rnacentral:rRNA from 1 species